ACGGCCAUACCUAGGCGAAAACACCAGUUCCCGUCCGAUCACUGCAGUUAAACGUCUGAGGGCCUCGUUAGUACUAUGGUUGGAGACAACAUGGGAAUCCGGGGUGCUGUAGGCU
rnacentral:rRNA from 1 species